GCUAGCUGUUUUGGCUAAUUUUGAAUUUUUUGAGGUUUUUUUUCAGCUAAUUUGGCACUUCGCUAAUAUUUUAGUUAGCAAUCAGCUUCAGCUUGAGUGUUUUAGCUGUUAAUUUAAACAUCUCCAGUUACUAAUCUAUCUCAGAGAAGAAAAGGGUUAUUUGGCCCUCACAAGAAGAAGUUUGGGGACCCCUUCACUACAGUGACAGUCACAGGAACUACUUCAGGAAUUAAAGUAGCCCAAAUUGCUUUAGCAUUUCCGGAAAAAACCUUCAGCAUCUUCAGCGACCGGAUUCAGCUCAAAGCAUCCACACAUCAUCGCAGGUAAUGCUACUUUUCUAGUGCACACUGUAGUGAUUCUCCUGCUCCUCUCCGUAUGUAAAAACUCAAUCACACUUUCAACGAUUCUUGGCGUCAAA